AGCGAAUAGACUACCCUGGUAGUCCACGCCGUAAACGAUGGAUGCUAGCUGUUAUCGAGUAUCGACCCUGGUAGUAGCGAAGCUAACGCGUUAAGCAUCCCGCCUGGGGAGUACGGUCGCAAGAUUAAAACUCAAAGGAAUUGACGGGGACCCGCACAAGCGGUGGAGCGUGUUGUUUAAUUCGACGCUAAGCGAAGAACCUUACCAAGGUUUGACAUCUCGGGAAAGUCUCCGAAAGGAGACCGUGCCUUCGGGAACCCGAUGACAGGUGUUGCAUGGCCGUCGUCAGCUCGUGUCGUGAGAUGUUU
rnacentral:rRNA from 1 species